UACGUAGGGUGCAAGCGUUGUCCGGAAUUAUUGGGCGUAAAGAGCUCGUAGGCGGUUUGUCGCGUCUGCUGUGAAAACUCGGGGCUUAACCCCGGGCCUGCAGUGGGUACGGGCAGACUAGAGUGCGGUAGGGGAGAACGGAAUUCCUGGUGUAGCGGUGAAAUGCGCAGAUAUCAGGAGGAACACCGGUGGCGAAGGCGGUUCGCUGGGAAUGACCUGACGCUGAGGAGCGAAAGUGUGGGGAGCGAACAGG
rnacentral:rRNA from 1 species